AGCUUGCCUCCUUAGUGGCGCAGCUAACGCAAUAAGUAGACCGCCUGGGGAGUACGGUCGCAAGAUUAAAACUCAAAUGAAUUGACGGGGGCCCGCACAAGCGGUGGAGCAUGUGGUUUAAUUCGAUGCAACGCGAAGAACCUUUCCAGGUCUUGACAUCCUGCGAACUUACUAGAGAUAGUUUGGUGCCUUCGGGAACGCAGUGACAGGUGCUGCAUGGCUGUCGUCAGCUCGUGUUGUGAAAUGUUGGGUUAAGUCCCGUAACGGGCGCAACCCUUGUCCUUAUUUGCCAGCACGUAAUGGUGGGAACUUUAAGGAGACUGCCGGUGACAAACCGGAGGAAGGUGGGGACGACGUCAAGUCAUCAUGGCCCUUACGACCUGGGCUACACACGUGCUACAAUGGCCGGUACAGAGGGUUGCAAAGCCGCGAGGUGGAGCCAAUCCCAGAAAGCCGGUCGUAGUUCGGAUUGGGGUCUGCAACUCGACUCCAUGAAGCCGGAAUCGCUAGUAAUCGCGAAUCAGAAUGUCGCGGUGAAUACGUUCCCGGGCCUUGUACACACCGCCCGUCACACCAUGGGAGUGGGUUGCAAAAGAAGUGGGUAGACUAACCUUCGGGAGGUCGCUCACCACUUUGUGAUUCAUGACUGGGGUGAAGUCGUAACAAGGUA
rnacentral:rRNA from 1 species